GCGAUUUUUUUUAGUUAGAUACACAUUAGGAAGAUGGCUUUUACAACCUCAUAUCUCUGUACCAUAUUUUAAUGGGUUCUUAUUAAAGAUUGGAUAAAUUUUUACGUUUAAGGAUUUUGUGCAGUUUUUGAGUUGGUUGCUCCGGACAAUGUUGAUUGGAGAUUCAUCGUUUUCCAGCGUGUCUUCUAGCAUUUGAGAGCUUUUGGGUAGCCAUUUAGAGCAACGGAUAGUUCAGCACGAAACAAUUGACUACUGAACCAAUGAUCAGCACGUCAGAAUAAACGUAAAACAGCACGAGAGUUCCAGCGUGCAAUGCAGAUGUUUGGGAUCUGUUAAAACUUUACGAAAGGGAAUUCACUCCUCUUAGAGAAGUGACGGAAUACACGAGUGAGGUGAAAGAGAAACUUCAUGUAAUGUCGCCAGCCUCCUGUUUCCUUAAUCUAAGCUUUUUUAUUUCUCAUCAAUUCCUGCACAAAGAAGUACUCGAUUUUUGGUCAUCGUCUAUGACAACGCGAAGAAUGCGAUCCAGCGCAUGCUGCUGGCAACUGAUAAACUUCGGUAUGGGUUGACAUUUCUCUUCGGACAUUUGCUGCAGUCUAACUAUAACACUUCUUUUUGUCGGUAUUUAUGCUUUUUGUAUCUGCAACAAUCACAAUUUAUCCCCAGUGGUUGAAUAUAUUAAGUCCUUCUGCGAUUGUUUCGAUUGUUUGA